rnacentral:lncRNA from 1 species
CUAUCCUAAGCAAAAGAUCUUAUAAUAACCAGAAGAAAUGGCAAACCCUUGCAUUGGUUCAAAGAUAUGGAAAAACAAACUACUAAAUCGACCUAAAAUAAUAUGAUAAAAUAAUUUUUAUGUAAACAAAAUAAAAUAAAAAAAUAUUACAAAUUUUUAUUUAUCAAUAUAGAAAUAGAGAGUCAAAUUCAAUAAGUACCUUGGAAGAUAAAUCUUCUUAAGAAUUCUAGAUGAAAGUG